rnacentral:lncRNA from 1 species
AAGGGGGUUAAAUGCUAAAAACCUAUUCUAAUUCUAUAUAUUUUUUCUUAAUUUUAUGUCUUUAUCUCAGCAUAACAACAAAAUCCAUAACAGAAAAGGGGGUUAAAUGCUAAAAACCUAUUCUAAUUCAAUAUAUUUUUUCUUAUUUUUAUGUCUUUAUCUCAGCGAAAAGAUCAAAUGUCGAAUCCAUUUAUUUUUCUUGUAUUCAAGCAGGUUGGACUGUGUAUUAUCAUAAUAAUGGUAGAAAUAGAAUCAUUUUUGUUUUGAUAUUCUAUACAAAAUCCUAUAACUUCAUUA